UUUUUAGUAUAAGUAUAUCCCUUGUGAUAGUUGGGAUAUACUUGUACCAAAA
rnacentral:miRNA from 1 species